AAAAAAGCUUUAUUCCCAACUCUCCCCUCUACCCCAAACGUGAGGCGGCCGACCACUCUCAAGCCAAGGCUAAACGCACCGGCCACCGCCCCACGGUGGACUCCUCGCUCCGAUUGGCUGCUCUGAACCGGCCGAAGAACUGAACCAGCCCUAAUCAAGGCCAAACCGAGACCCCAACUAGCCCCCUCUUUCUUCUUUAUCACUCAACCGAGAACCAUACCGCCCCAAAACCGGCCAUCUACGCCAUUUGACACUACCACGACUCACCGGCGACCUAGAACCCAGGUAUACGACCCUUCAAUUAUUUCUUCACCUCUUUAUUUUUUUAUUCAAAAAUAAAAAAAAACAUAAAAAAUUAACCUUUGAAUGUUGUAUUGAUUUCUUAAAAAAAAAAUAGGGAGAGGAGCCUCCUUUUACAAUAUGAUUUGGGGUUUUUAUAACCCCUAUUACAUGACAAAAAAAUUUAUUACUUUCUUGUUUGGUGACAUGCUGAGCAUGGGUGAGGCUUGGUGGUGUAGUAGGGCAUGGGCAGCAUGGUGCAGUUGGUGGUGGCAGCAACAGUAGGGGAUGGUGUUGCUGUGCUGGUAGGACAAAAAAGGUGAUUACAGCUGUGUUGCUGAGUAUUGCCAAUUUUUUGUGUAGGAGCGUAACUGUAAGCAGUUCAGUAGGAGUCCUCAUGGACCAGAUGUUGUGUGUGAAAAUAUUAAAUGAUUGUUUGUGCUAGAUUGCAAGGGUGCGAUAUUGAUUUGCAGGAUAUGGUGAAUGUGCAGCUCUGCAGUGCUUGGGAGAUUGUAGUUUAAUUGAUUGAUGACUGCUAGUUUUUUU